UACGAAGGGGGCUAGCGUUGCUCGGAAUUACUGGGCGUAAAGCGCACGUAGGCGGCUUCUUAAGUCGGGGGUGAAAUCCUGGAGCUCAACUCCAGAACUGCUUUCGAUACUGGGAAGCUCGAGUUCGGGAGAGGUGAGUGGAACUGCGAGUGUAGAGGUGAAAUUCGUAGAUAUUCGCAAGAACACCAGUGGCGAAGGCGGCUCACUGGCCCGAUACUGACGCUGAGGUGCGAAAGCGUGGGGAGCAAACAGG
rnacentral:rRNA from 1 species